rnacentral:rRNA from 1 species
CCUACGGGAGGCAGCAGUGAGGAAUAUUGGUCAAUGGACGCAAGUCUGAACCAGCCAUGCCGCGUGCAUGAAGACGGCUCUAUGAGUUGUAAACUGCUUUUGUACGAGGGUAAACGCAGAUACGCGUAACUGUCUGAAAUUAUCGUACGAACAAGAGACGGCCAACUCAGUGCCAGUCGCCGCGGUACUACGGAGGAUUCAAGCGUUACCCGGAUUUAUUUGGUUUAAAGGGUGCGUAGGCGGUCGGAUAAGUUAGAGGUGAAAUCCCGGGGCUCAACUUCGGAAUUGCCUCUGAUACUGUUCGGCUAGAGAGUAGUUGCGGUAGGCAGAAUGUAAGGUGUAGCGGUGAAAUGCGUAGAGAU